AUUGAACGCUGGCGGCAGCCCUAACACAUUCAAGUCGAACGAGUAGCAGACGGGUGAGUAAUGUCUGGUAAACUGCCCGAUUGAGGGGGAUGACUCCUGGAAACGGUAGCUAAUACCGCCUACCAUCGGAUGUGCCCAGAUGGGAUUAUCUAGUAGGUGGGGUAACGACUCACCUAGGCGACGAUCCCUAGCUGGUCUGAUAGGAUGACAAGCCACACUGGAACUGAGACACGGUCCAGAAUCCUACGGGAGGCAGCAGUGGGGAAUAUUGCACAAUGGGCGCAAGCCUGAUGCAGCCAUGCCGGGUGUACGAAGAAGGCCUUCGGGUUGCAAAGGACUUUCAGCGAGGAGGUGUUACGCGCAGAAGAAGCACCGGCUAACUCCGUGCCAGCAGCCGCGGUAAUAC
rnacentral:rRNA from 1 species